UGUGAUGAUAUCUCUGGCCCUUCCAACUCGAGCUAAAGUAUAUACCUAUAAGAAAUGGAAAAGAGAACACGGAGUAAGCUUCAAUGCUUAGUAAGUUUUAAGCAAUGCAAACAAUUAAUUUACUUAUAGAUCGAUUAUUCAAAUUUUCAAGAAAUCAUUCCUAGAUAAUUGCCAUUUUGGCCAAGUAUCCAUGAACAUAAUGCAUAUUUA
rnacentral:lncRNA from 1 species